UAUACCUUACAAGUAAAUCAUGGUUUUACGAGAUGAAUAGAUUUAUAAAGACAACACCAUUAGACCUUUCAAUAGCACAAAAAUAGAACUCUGACUGUCCGGGUUUAAUGUUUUAAUGGUGCCCUAUGGUUGUUAAGGAGCUGAUCAUCGGAUCCAGUGGUUAAACGAUGUGAGAGUGAGGACGAAGACUUUCUGUUCUGGCAUUGGCGGAGUUGGUUCUCUCUCUCCCAUGUACUGGACGCUGACAUGCAUCCUUCUCAUUGGGGGGUGGGGCCUUGCCCCUCUCUCUCACUCCUCUCCUACCUCCCUAGUUCUGUUUACUUCAGUCUUCAUCCUUCCUUCAAGUGAACCAUUUCUUCUUGCCCUCCAUCCCUCCCUUCUAGCUUCCUUUUAUACUCUCUCUCCUUUAUGGGGUUUACGGUUACUUGGUUUCUUUUCCUGGGCCGCUUUGCGGUCUAACUAUUUCCUACUUUUACUAGCAAGUUCCUGUAAAAUCUAAACUAUUAUUUUAGAGCCUGACAGAAGAAGGAUAAACCAAUGUGAUUCACUCAAGAACUAUAUAUACAGGAUGAUUAAAUAAUCAAGAACAUAAGUUAAAAGAACGUCAAAAUGUAAUUUUCUGUAUUUUAAUAACUAAGAUAUAAAGUAAUUUUAUCAAGCAUAUUAAAGGCAACUAAUAUUGGCACAUUAAAAAUGUUAAAACUGUAAAUAUGUCAUAUUUAAUCCAAAGUUAUCGUGGUAAAUAAUGAUCGUCAUGUUGCAGAUGAUCAUGGGAGAUCAAGAUCAGUAAAGACUUACUCCCUAAUCCUAUCUCAAGAAGUGAUCCGUUAAUUCAAAUGACAUGCAAGUUGUUUGAUCCAGUUGAUCAUCAAGAGUGAUCAGUAUAACCAGGAGUUCUUGAGGCUCCAAAGCAGAUGCGGAACAGGACUGAUACGAGAUAUCUUUACCAGGGCUUCCUAUCUACAGUUUGAUCCUACAUUUUAUAUUUACCCAUCUACACCUCAGUCAGCUUUAACAAAGGUCUCACGGUGAUCUAACGGGAUCUCACGGUGAUCUACAGCACACAGCUAGUCUGGAAAACCUCCCAAGUAUUGUUUAAAUCUAACUUGUGUUAAAUGAUAGAUUAACAAUAAUUCCUAUGCAGGCAGAAAGAAUCUGAGGACGACUGUACGUAUCAUUUCUGUACUACGUAUUACUGUUGCUCUUUCAGAAUAAGAUCGUUCCUGACCUAGAUCGUUCCUGACCUGACUUUAAACUAAUUCAGGAAUAUCCUGUUCUACAUGCAUUAAUUCUACAGAAUCAAGGAAUCAGUCCGCAGUGUUCACAGGACACACAGGUUAUUAUUAUCUAAUAAACCUAAUCAACCUCAACUCUGUGAUAUCCACAAUGAAAACUAGUUGCUUAUAGUUCUUCAUAUUCGCAGAAGAAAUUAUACUGACGCACGGAGAACUUGAAACCUGAUAAAACCCAAACAGAAGACAUUUGGAUCAGCUUGUGAGAAAACCAAACCGCCAUUAAAUGUAAGAUUUAUAUUAGAAAGCUUGGGACAUCAUUAUAUUUCGUAAAAUACUUUCAUGUGCCUUUUGAAACAGAUGUUUUAAGCUUUCAUAAAGUUCUCAUAUAAUGCUUGUAUCUGGUCGUAACAUUUCACCAUUUUGAAAUAUUGGAUUUUAAUGUAUUCUGUCAAAUGACUUUAUCUAGUCACAACAUUUUAUCAUUCAGCACAUUUCAUAUCAUCAUAUCAUACUAAUUAUGUUUAUAUUUUUAGCUUGACAGCAAAUGAUGAUCAAGAAAUAAAUUUUAAAAUAAGGACUUGAUUAUUUCUGUGUAUGGGGUGGUGAAAAAACAAUACACUGGUUAAAAUCAGUUACGCACUUCUAUUGUUCCGACGCUGAAAAUUUAAUUGAGGGUCAGCUAAAAGAUGAAAGGUGCACAGUUCCCUUCCGGUAUUUUCUUUCAUUUAAUCUCUACCAACCUUUUACUGUGGCCACAAGUUUGUGUGGGGCUCGUUUUCCGCCUUUGAGGAUUCGGCCCCUCACUGUCCCAUGUCCUCUUUUCCUAGACUUUUCCUUGACCCUCGACUUAAGGCUGACCUGUAUCUACUUAUAUAUUACUCUCACUCCUACUCCUAAUCCCUUAGUGCGCAAACAGGUAGCUCGUGUUCACAGCUUCAAAAUAAUUAACCAAACUAAACCUUCAUUUUAUCAAAAAAGUUCCAGGUCCCGAUUAGUCUCAUUAUUUGUGGGUAACCCUGUCCUACUUCAAAGUUACUAGUUCAGAUUAAGUAAUGAAUUAAGGCAAUACACAAGAUUUUUCCU